rnacentral:rRNA from 1 species
CCUCAGUAACGGCGAGUGAAGCGGCAACAGCUCAAAUUUGAAAUCUGGCCGUUCGGCGGUCCGAGUUGUAAUUUGUAGAGGAUGCUUCGGGUGCGGCGCCGGUCUAAGUUCCUUGGAACAGGACGUCAGAGAGGGUGAGAAUCCCGUAUGUGACCGGUGACCCAGCCCGUGUGAAGCUCCUUCGACGAGUCGAGUUGUUUGGGAAUGCAGCUCUAAAUGGGUGGUAAAUUUCAUCUAAAGCUAAAUACCGGCCAGAGACCGAUAGCGCACAAGUAGAGUGAUCGAAAGAUGAAAAGCACUUUGGAAAGAGAGUUAAAAAGUACGUGAAAUUGUUGAAAGGGAAGCGCUUGUGACCAGACUUGCUCGCGGGCGAUCAGCCGUCCUUCUGGGCGGUGCACUCGCCCGUGAUCAGGCCAGCAUCGGUUCGGGCGGCCGGAUAACGGCCCCGGGAAUGUGGCUCCCCUCGGGGAGUGUUAUAGCCCGGGGCGCAAUGCGGCCCGCCGGGACCGAGGACCGCGCUUCGGCUAGGAUGCUGGCGUAAUGGUCGUAAGCGACCCGUCUUGAAACACGGACCAAGGAGUCUAACAUCUGUGCGAGUGUUUGGGUGUCAAACCCAUGCGCGGAAUGAAAGUGAACGGAGGUGGGAACCCUUCAGGGUGCACCAUCGACCGAUCCUGAUGUCUUCGGAUGGAUUUGAGUAAGAGCAUAGCUGUUGGGACCCGAAAGAUGGUGAACUAUGCCUGAAUAGGGUGAAGCCAGAGGAAACUCUGGUGGAGGCUCGCAGCGGUUCUGACGUGCAAAUCGAUCGUCAAAUUUGGGUAUAGGGGCGAAAGACUAAUCGAACCAUCUAGUAGCUGGUUCCUGCCGAAGUUUCC